AGGGCACCACCAGGAGUGGAGCCUGCGGUUUAAUUUGACUCAACACGGGAAAACUCACCCGGCCCGGACACUGGAAGGAUUGACAGAUUGAGAGCUCUUUCUUGAUUCAGUGGGUGGUGGUGCAUGGCCGUUCUUAGUUGGUGGAGUGAUUUGUCUGGUUAAUUCCGAUAACGAACGAGACUCUAGCCUACUAAAUAGAUCGUCGGCUUACAAACGCCGGCGAGACUUCUUAGAGGGACAGGCGGUGAUUCAACCGCACGAAACAGAGCAAUAACAGGUCUGUGAUACCCUUAGAUGUCCGGGGCCGCACGCGCGCUACACUGAAGUGAUCAGCGUGCUUUUUCAACCUACUCUGUCAAGAGUGGGGAACCCAAUGAACCUUCUUCGUGAUUGGGAUAGGGGAUUGUAAUUAUUCCCCUUGAACGAGGAAUUCCCAGUAAGCGCGAGUCAUAAGCUCGCGUUGAUUACGUCCCUGCCCUUUGUACACACCGCCCGUCGCUACUACCGAUUGAAUGUUUU
rnacentral:rRNA from 1 species